AAGUAGCACGGAUUGCUCAUCCGAUCCGUUCGGCCGCAGCCAGUGUGUCAAAUUACAGAGGCGCCGGAAUCGGCCCCAACGCUUCUCGGCGGCGGCCACCACCCACCUCUGCCCAUGGGGCCCUCGGUGUGCGCCCCUUCGCGCCGGGACUGAAGCCGGCUCGCCCGGGAGACGCGAGACACCAAGAAGGACCGACAGCGCGGAACCAACUCCGGGACUCUGCAGAUACUUGAAGGGGGAAACGGGGCGGAGAGGAGAGCCGGCCGGAUUCCCCUAACUUUCCUGGACUUGGAACGUUCUUCGAAGUAACUCUCUCCUCACCUGGGUCUACUACCGCUGUACUGCCAGCGGCAGCUGGUUGUGUUCUCUCGGCUGUCCCCCUCCUGCCGCUAAUUUUUCCAUCGUCUUUGCCGGGAGCAAAGGAAAGGGACAUUUUUCCCCCCUUGCCCGCAGCUUGGAUCGCGCCUCUGGGCAGCGGCUCUCGCCUUUAUUUAUUCUAUUUAUUUAUUUAUUGGUUCUCGAGACGCAAGGGGAUGGUAGCCGAGCGCCCCCGCAAAGCGGCAGCCGCCGGUGCCCGCGGCCCGGGGGAGCUAAGCGCGCCCGCGACGGUGGCGCUGGCGGUGGCGCCGGCGGAGCGCUGCGCGCGGCUGCCGAGCCCGGGGUCGUGCGGGCUGCUGGCGCUGGCCCUGUGUUCGCUGGCGCUCAGCCUGCUCGCCCACUUUCGGACCGCGGAGCUGCAGGCCCGGGUGCUGCGCCUGGAAUCGGAGCGUGGGGAGCAGCAAAUGGAGACGGCUAUUUUGGGACGAGUCAACCAACUGCUGGAUGAGAAAUGGAAGCUCCACUCUCGGAGGCGCCGGGAGGCCCCCCCGAAGACGUCUGCAGGGUGUCACUGCCCACCAGGACCUCCUGGUCCCGCUGGAAGACCCGGCCUCCCAGGGGACAAAGGUGCCAUUGGGAUUCCUGGACGUGUGGGAGUAAAGGGCCAACCAGGCGAGAAGGGGGCCCCAGGAGAUGCCGGCAUGUCCAUCAUCGGUCCCCGCGGCCCCCCUGGUCAGCCGGGCACUCGAGGUUUUCCUGGAUUUCCGGGUCCCAUCGGGCUAGAUGGAAAACCGGGCCACCCCGGACCCAAAGGAGAGAUGGGCCUGACGGGUCCCCGAGGACAGCCGGGACCUCAAGGACAAAAAGGAGAAAAGGGUCAGUGUGGAGAGUACCCACAUCGGCUGCUGCCUCUCCUCAAUUCAGUGCGACUGGCUCCACCCCCAGUCAUAAAAAGGCGGACCUUCCAGGGCGAACAGGGCCAGGCCGGUAUCCAAGGACCACCGGGGCCACCAGGCCCCCCUGGACCGAGCGGACCUCUGGGGCCCCCGGGACUGCCAGGGCCCAUGGGGCCACCCGGCUUACCUGGGCCUCCAGGACCAAAGGGAGACCCAGGAAUCCAGGGUUACCACGGUCGAAAGGGAGAACGAGGCAUGCCGGGGAUGCCCGGCAAACACGGAGCCAAGGGGGCUCCCGGCAUCACCGUGGCGGGGAUGAAGGGGGAGCCGGGGACCCCAGGAGCCAAGGGCGAAAAGGGGGCUGCAGGCUCCCCCGGGCUGCUCGGCCUCCUGGGGCAGAAGGGAGAAAAAGGCGACGCUGGCAACUCCUUUGGAGGGGGCAGAGGGGAGCCCGGCCCCCCAGGGCUACCUGGGCCCCCAGGCCCAAAGGGAGAAGCUGGUGUUGAUGGCCAGGCCGGCCCCCCAGGACGGCAAGGAGACAAGGGUGAGCCCGGAGCAGCCGGAGAACAGGGACCGGCUGGCCCCAAGGGCAGCAAGGGGGAACCAGGCAAAGAAAUGGUGGACUACAAUGGGAACAUCAACGAGGCUCUCCAGGAGAUCCGAACGCUGGCCUUGAUGGGGCCCCCUGGUCUUCCCGGGCAAAUCGGCCCACCCGGAGCCCCGGGGAUCCCAGGCCAGAAGGGGGAGAUUGGACUUCCAGGCCCUCCAGGACACGAUGGGGAAAAGGGACCUCGAGGCAAACCAGGCGACAUGGGCCCUCCCGGUCCCCAAGGCCCCCCAGGAAAGGCUGGGCCCACAGGAAUGAAGGGUGAAGACGGACACGUGGGGAGCCCGGGAGAAAAGGGGGAGAAAGGGGAGACGGGGCAAGCAGGCCCACCGGGUCUAGACGGCCCAACUGGGGAGAAAGGAGAACCAGGUGGCCAAGGGAGACCCGGAACAACAGGAUUGCCCGGCCCGAUCGGGCUCCCGGGAUUUACAGGGGAGAAAGGAGAGCCCGGGGAGAAGGGAGACCCAGGAGCGGAGGUUCCUGGGCCCCCAGGGCCAGAGGGGCCUCCCGGACCUCCGGGACUCCAAGGUGUUCCUGGACCAAAGGGGGAAGCGGGACUGGAUGGAGCAAAAGGAGAGAAGGGUGUCCAGGGAGAGAAAGGAGACCGAGGGCCGCUGGGAUUACCCGGAGCUUCAGGUUUGGACGGCAGGCCUGGGCCACCGGGUACUCCAGGACCAGUCGGAGUUCCAGGCCCAGCGGGACCAAAGGGCGAGAGGGGCAGCAAAGGCGACCUUGGGAUGACAGGACCAUCAGGAGCGGCUGGGCUUCCUGGUUUACAUGGACCACCCGGGGACAAAGGAAACCGGGGACACCGAGGUUUUAAAGGAGAGAAAGGGGAGCCGGGGUUACCAGGGCUGGACGGACUGGAUGCCCCGUGCCCAUUGGUAUGGCAUCACCCUCCCUCGCCUGCAUGGCCGACUCAGGCUUCCCCACGUGUGUGGUUCUUGCCCGCAUGCCUCUCCAGCCGCCCUCCUCACGCCUCCUGCCCCAUCCACUCAGUCUCCACUUCCUGCUCCUUCUCUCUGUAGACGCCAAGGGUCACCCUGCCCUGGCUGGUCCUCAGGGCCUCCAAGCAUGCCCCCUGGAGCACGCAAAGCUUGCCAGAUGUUUUCUCGGCUUCUUCCUCCAGCUGCUGCAAAAGCACAUCCCCUUAAUGUGAGCCAUCCCGCAUCCAACCCUCCCUUCCUAGGGGCUUCUAGCCAAACCUGCCCCCAGAAAGUCAGGAAGGUGAGAUCCUCUGGACAGGUUCUUGGCAACUGUGACUUCUCUUCCUUCACACACUGCGGUUGGUUCAGCAAGCAUCAGCUGAGCCCCAGGCGGAACAUUUGAAUGAGAUGCCUGAGCCAGUCCCACACACCUUCCCGUUCCGCCAUCUUGUGAUGUGGCCGGGGACAGACGGGCAUGCUCAUAAACGUGGGUAGACUGAGAAGUUCUAGAACUGAGGUAGAAGAGGGGGCCACUCUGCCCGUUCUUCCAGGCUGCCUCUGGGGUCGUUACCCCGGUGCUACCACCAGAACUAAAGGAUGGUCCAAGGUCAGGAUUUUAGAUACUAAACGAUUCAUCCUUUUUGCUUCAACCCGGGGAGACACUACAAGACCCUCGCUUGGCUUCCCUCCCUUUCAUCUGCAGAUGACCCACCACCGGCAAGUCUGGAAGAGAAUGGAAAGGUCGAGAAUGUAGUUGAGGAAGAGAAGAGGGGAGACAGGGAGGCUCUUAGGAACCCUCCCCACGCAUGUGCUGGCCGAGUGGCCACAGUGCUGCUCACACCUGGCUCAGGGUCUGUCGGGCAGGGACGUUCUAGCCCCAUAGCCACCCUUUCACCUCGCUGCAAGGGAGAAAUGGACGGCACCUCACUCCAAGGCAAUUGGCUUAGAAGGUUCCCGCUCUUCUAAACUUCCCCAGGAGGUCUAGAGUGCACGUAACUAUUUUCAUACAAGUAAGAGAUGAGGACUCCAGGUCCCACGUCUCACCCCGGGGUCACACGAGAAUUAUCUCUGAAGAGAAGAGAAAAAGUUGUAGGAAAAUACGCUGUGUGCCCCUGAGAAGUGACCACAGAGCCCCGUGAAGGGACUUUUUAGGACCAGUAUAGACAACAAAAGAAGACUGCAGGGUAGCAUGCUCCCCCUUCCCCCCACCCCUCUGCUGAAGCCCCUGCUCACUGCCCCCACCUCCCCACCGCCUGGCCUGAUGACCCCCGAGCACGCAGCCAUAGGACCCCCGGUCCCCCCAGAGCACCUCCACUAAUCACCGGCCAGGUCUCCUCUCGGCCACGUGCCUUCCGUGGCCUGAGUACCUUGAGUUCCGCUGGCCCCCGCCACCCUGCUCCUCUCUCACACACUCCCUCCGCCUGCCCCACUCUCCUCUGUCGCCCUGCCACCAUCACGUGCCAAUGGGAAUGCCGCCGUGGCCCCGCGGAGGCUCCUCUCCCUUCCAGAGUCCAUGUGAAGUGUCGCACCACGGCGGGCUGGGGAAGGGGGCAGGUCUCCAUGAAGCCCUGGAAUGCCCCACCUCCCCCUGCAGACCCUCCCUGACCCAGAGGGGACAAUGAAGGUCAUCUUUGUUUGGUCCUUAAUGCAAAGCGGCAUUUUCUGCAACAACAUCCCAUACCGAUGUGUCCUUUGUCUACGAAUCUCGCUGGGGAAGUGUACAUAUCUUCCCUUUCUUGUUUCUCGUCGUGGCUCUUUUCCCGUCCCCUGCCCUGUGUCGUUGUGGACAUGGGGGCAGGGGGAGCUAUCUCAGUUUGAGAUAAGUAGGCUUCUUCUGCCCUCCGCGGCGGGCCGGCUGCCUGCUACCUGCCAGGCCAGAGGUUUAGGCACCUGUCGUGGUGGAUGAAAUCGAUCUGCGGCACAGAGGGCUCCCAUUCAACCACCUCUGGGCUAACGGCUUGCUCCAGUCAUCUGAAACCCCGCGUCCAUCCUUUUGUGCCCUGGAGCGUGGAAUUCUAGGAUCUGGGCUGCAAUUCUAGACCAGAUCUAGGCCCCGGUUCAGCCUCACACUCCCACCUUGUCUCACAGUUUCCAGAUCCCCCCAGGGUAUGCCAGCGGGGGCCAGGAUAUCAGGGCCCGAGAAGCCUUAGGACGUCCGGGGGCUACAGGUGCUCUGUGGGUGCCACCGGCAAAGGGGACAGACGGGGCACGGUUGAUCCCCAUCCUCCACUUCAUCUCCGCCCCCGGCCCCAAAUUCCCAGUAAUGGCUGAGGCUGAGCCCGAGGACAGCAUCACCCUGCUGAAGGCACCUCGAGACCAUGUUGCGAUUCCCGUGAGGUUGCUUGCCUCUGCACCCCGCCCUCCUCCUUAUUGAUUAACAGAUGGGAACCGCCUAGAUCUCUUCCUCCUGCCUCUCAGGAAGGGAGGAAACUAAGAUCAUAGGAGAGCUGGGGACACCUUAGUGAUCACCUCAUACAACCGCACCUUCCCCAGGUUUCACAGAGGAUGAAACAGGCCUCCAAGCGCUGAAUGACUGAGCUGUGAGCACCUAGCAUUCAGUACAGCCAGAGCAGAGACCUGCGCGGCUGAGGGCUGUUCCUAACAGGACACUCAGGUCACCGCUGCUCGCUGACCCCACAGGCUAGGGCAGCCCCCCCCCCUUGGCCUUGCACGGUGACUGCGUGUGACCCUAGUCAGUGGGAAGUCCGGCUUGCCUCCCGCGCAUUUCGGAGGCUCUGCCCUGAAGCAGAGGAGAGGGAUAGACAAGAGGCGAGCUGCCACAGUGUUUGCGGCCCUUGCUCCCCUGUCCUGCCUGCUCGCCGGGCUGUCCCAGAGUCUGAGCCACCUGCCUUCCUUCCUCCCCGCAGGGCGAAGAUGGCUUACCAGUCCAGGGCUGUUGGAACAAGUGAUGCCUCUAACCUGGGAUUGGCCUGUGUGUGUGUUUGUACAUAGAGUAUUUAUUUUUAUACAGUUUUCACUUUUUGAAAAUGCCGGAAGUAUGAUGCAUCUUACAGAUUAUUAUUAAAAAAAAAAAGAAAGAAAAAGAAAACCUUGCAUAUUUUGUACAGAAAAUGCCAACCUCUUUCCUUUUGUUUACAAGAUGUUUUGUAUACGUCUACGACUCUAAUACACUUUUUGUUUGUGAGUACGGGCAUAUGUUUGCAUGAUAUUUGUGCACACUUAUUAAGUAUUGAAGCUUAAUAAAUUAUAGUGUUCUGGUGCCGAAGGGGGCCGGCCAACACUAAGGUGCUGGCUAGCUUACGUGUGGACUCACGGGGAUGUGGACAUCGGUGGUGUUUUUGCCAAGAAUAUUUUAAGCUCUUACGGAUUUUCAUUAUUAAAAAAAGUUAAACGUGGC